rnacentral:lncRNA from 1 species
GUUGCUGCUGUUGGUGUGGAGGCGGUGGCGGGAUCGGAGGCUUAGGGCCGCUCUGGCCCGGGCCAGGACCCAUGGGGCCGCGAUUCUGAUUGAGGCCCAUGCCGGGCGGCGGAGAACGGAAGUCGUGGAGGCCGCCGCGGCCGCCGCCUCCUCCACGCCUGUGGAAGCCACCACCGCCACCGCCACGACUCCGGAACCGAUCCCGAGACAUGUCUGUGGUCAAGGGGCGGUCGAGGCAAAAGCGAAGAAGACGCUCAGGAAACGUGGAGGCCACCUUGCUUCUCACAAAAUGGCGGAUGACACAGGCGGCGCGCCGCCUUUGUCCUCGUCUUAUAUAGGCCAGCUGGCACGGCCCCGCCUACUCCACGAUCGACAGCUCCAAUAGCCAAUUGCAAUUACUAUGCUUGAUGACACUAAGUUGCGAACCUCUGAUCAUUCCUAUUGGCCCCUGGGUGAGAGGCGGGAGGCAUGGGGGGACUGAAGUUUCCAGUUGGCCAGUGAGCGAAGAAGGCGUUGGCUGUAGGCCACUAUGAUUUGCUAGGAGAAAUUUGAAUGGGUAUGCCAGGGCAAUUUUCACUUGCGAGCAAAUAACCAGGGCUCUAUCCGCUCCUGCAGAGAAGCGUUGGAGGUCUCUUUUCUUUCUUGAUUGUCCCUAGGAGCAAUCUACUGAUAUCCUUGCCCAGAAAAACAGAUGUUUUCCGAUUCAAAAUCAGAAAUUGAGUGCCUGCUGUCUACCCUACCUCGUGCCAACUCAAUGAAAGUAGAGAAGUAAAAUCUUACCGAUUUCAAACAUACGCAGUCUUAACUGAUUUCAUUAUGGAACCUCAUAGGAAUACAGAUUUAUUGUAGCAGCAUAAACUUUUCAAUAGGCUUCUGUGGGUGCGCGCUUUGUUCAAAAAGAGCCCUUGUGUGUAUGUGUGUAUAUAUACACGUUUACAAACACCAAUCACAGGAGGAAUGUAAAUAUUCCACUCAACACUUUACGAACAGACUAAGGUACUUUUAAAAAAUUACAAUGUUAGGCUGGGCACUGUGGCUCACGCCUGUAAUCCUAGCACUUUGGGACACCGAGUCGGGCAGAUCACCUGAGGUCAGGAGUUCUAGACCAGCCUGGCCAACAUGGCGAAACCCCGUCUUUACUAAAAAAUACAAAAAUUUGGCUGGGUGGGGUGGCUGACGCCUGUAAUCCCAGCACUUACUUUGGGCGCCGAGGUGGGUGGAUCACGAGGUCAGGAAUUCGAUACCAGCCUGGCCAAUAUGGUGAAACCCCGUCUCUACUAAAAAUACAAAAAUUAGCUGGGCGUGGUGGUGCACGUCUGUAGUCCCAGCUACUCGGGAGGCUGAGGCAGGAGAAUUGCUUGAACCCGGGAGGC